GGGUCGAUGGCGUAGCUGGUUAUCGCAUCUGUCUAACAUCAUCCAUUAUUCGAAUGUUCACAGAAGGUCCUCAGUUCGAACCUGGGUCGACUCA